rnacentral:rRNA from 1 species
UACGAAGGGGGCUAGCGUUGCUCGGAAUCACUGGGCGUAAAGCGCACGUAGGCGGAUUGCUAAGUCAGGGGUGAAAUCCUGGAGCUCAACUCCAGAACUGCCUUUGAUACUGGCGACCUUGAGUCCGGGAGAGGUGAGUGGAACUGCGAGUGUAGAGGUGAAAUUCGUAGAUAUUCGCAAGAACACCAGUGGCGAAGGCGGCUCACUGGCCCGGUACUGACGCUGAGGUGCGAAAGCGUGGGGAGCAAACAGGG